rnacentral:rRNA from 1 species
CUACGGGGCGCUGCAGUGGGGAAUAUUGCACAAUGGAGGAAACUCUGAUGCAGCAACGCCGCGUGGAGGACGACACUUUUCGGAGCGUAAACUCCUUUUAUAUAGGAAGAAGAUGACGGUACUAUAUGAAUAAGCGCCGGCUAACUCCGUGCCAGCAGCCGCGGUAAUACGGAGGGCGCAAGCGUUACUCGGAAUCACUGGGCGUAAAGAGCGCGUAGGCGGAUUAAAAAGUCAGAAGUGAAAUCCUAUAGCUUAACUAUAGAACUGCUUCUGAAACUCUUAAUCUAGAAUAUGGGAGAGGUAGAUGGAAUUUCUGGUGUAGGGGUAAAAUCCGUAGAGAUCAGAAGGAAUACCGAUUGCGAAGGCGAUCUACUAGAACAUUAUUGACGCUGAGACGCGAAAGCGUGGGGAGCAAACAGGAUUAGAUACCCUCGUAGUC